CCGAGGCGGGGCCGGGAGCCGGGGCUGUCGGGGCGGCGGGGGAGCUUGGCUUCUCCCGCCCGGUGGGGAAAUAUCAGCCGGACGGGGCCGGUCCCUCAGGCCUGGCGCCCACAUGAACCCGCCUCUAGCGUGAACCAGUCUCCAGCUGUCCCGGCGCGCGGCCAUCCUAGCGGAGGGCGUGGUCCUGGACGGCGGGGGCUGCAGGGUCCGGACGUUCCCAUCGUGCGUGUCCUGAACGCGGGCGCCCGGGGACGAGUCUCGUCCAGCUCCGUCCUGACCCAGGAGACCCGGGCACCCGGCUGGGAGUUUGCAGCGCCCGGGGGCGGCCAGGGUCUCGGGAAACGUAGCGCCCCGCGCGGAUCUCCGCUCCGAUGCAAGCGCCCGGCGAGCAGAUGCUUCGGGGCCGUCACCGGGGGGCCGGCUGGACGCGCGGCCGUCACCGUGGCCGUUGUCAUCAUCGUGGUUGUGGCCAUGGUCGCUGUCGCUGAAGAAACGCGGGGCGACCUCUCCCCAUUCCCGUGCGGUUCUUAGGGCUGAACCGUUGGGCGCGCAUUUGCAGAAAAGCCAGCUCCUGAGUCUCAAGACAGACUCCGAGGCCAGGCGUGUGUGGAGCCUGGUCCCUGCUGCCGGCCUCGCAGGCCGAGCCAACUCGGAGCCCCGCACCCACCCGCAGGGAGCUGCCCUCGCCCAGGACCCUCUUGGCCCACGCGGGCCUCACCCCUCAGAGGCACCUCGAAAGGUACUGCGCUUGUCACAUAGCUUCCUGCAAACAAGAGAAGCCCACCAAGCCAUGCACAGCUGGAAAAUGGCCCUUAUAAAGCCAUCAAGUCCUAAUCCAGGCAACCUAUAA
rnacentral:lncRNA from 1 species